rnacentral:tRNA from 3 species
GCCGCGGUAGCUCAGUGGUAGAGCGCACCCUUGGUAAGGGUGAGGUCGAGAGUUCAAUCCUCUCUCGUGGCACCA